rfam:Nicotiana attenuata strain TT chromosome 6, whole genome shotgun sequence.
UCCUCAGUAGUUCAGUGGUGGAGCGAUCGGCUGUUAACCGAUUGGUCGUAGGUUCGGAUCGUACUUAGGGAG